rnacentral:rRNA from 1 species
GACGAACGCUGGCGGCGUGGAUUAGGCAUGCAAGUCGAACGCGAACGACAUUCUUCGGAGUGUUUAGUAGAGUGGCGAACGGGUGAGUAACGAGUAGGUAAUCUACCCUUAAGUUUGGGAUAGCCCCGGGAAACCGGGAUUAAUACCAGAUGUGAAAGAAAUUUUAAAGGAGGCCUCUUUACAAUGCUUCCGCUUAAGGAUGAGCCUGCUUUCUAUUAGCUAGUUGGUGUGGUAAAGGCAUACCAAGGCGAUGAUAGAUAGGCGGCCUUAACGGGUGGUCGCCCACACUGGGAUUGAGAUACGGCCCAG